rnacentral:rRNA from 1 species
CCCUUAGAUGUCCGGGGCCGCACGCGCGCUACACUGAAGGAAUCAGCGUGGCUUUCUCCCUGACCCGAAAGGGUUGGGAAACCCGUUGAAUCUCCUUCGUGAUAGGGAUUGGGGCUUGAAAUUGUUCCCCAUGAACGAGGAAUUCCCAGUAAGCGCGAGUCAUAAGCUCGCGUUGAUUACGUCCCUGCCCUUUGUACACACCGCCCGUCGCUACUACCGAUUGAACGGUUUAGUGAGGGCCUCGGAUUGGUCUCGGCCCGCUAUUUACCGGGCGGCGCCGUUGGUCGAGAAGACGCUCGAACUUGAUCGUUUAGAGGAAGUAAAAGUCGUAACA